AGAGUUUGAUCCUGGCUCAGAUUGAAAGCUGGGGGCAUGCCUUACACAUGCAAGUCGAACGCGAAAGGGGGCAACCCCGAGUAGAGUGGCGAACGGGUGAGCAAUACAUCGGAACAUUUCCUGUAGCGGGGGACAACCCCGAGAAAUCGGGGCUAAUACCGCAUACGAUCUACGGAUGAAAGUGGGGGACCGCAAGGCCCCACACUAUAGGAGUGGCCGAUGCCGGAUUAGCUAGUUGGUGAGGUAAUGGCCCACCAAGGCGACGAUCCGUAGCUGGUUUGAGAGAACGACCAGCCACACUGGGACUGAGACACGGCCCAGACUCCUACGGGAGGCAGCAGUGGGGAAUUUUGGACAAUGGGCGCAAGCCUGAUCCAGCCAUGCCGCGUGAGUGAAGAAGGCCUUCGGGUUGUAAAGCUCUUUCAGCGGGGACGAAAUAGCGCGGGGUAACAUCCCGCGUCGAUGACGGUACCCGAAGAAGAAGGACCGGCUAACUACGUGCCAGCAGCCGCGGUAAUACGUAGGGUCCAAGCGUUAAUCGGAAUUACUGGGCGUAAAGCGUGCGUAGGCGGUCUCGCAAGUCCGAUGUGAAAUCCCCGGGCUUAACCUGGGAACUGCGUUGGAAACUACGAGGCUAGAGUGCGGCAGAGGGGGGUGGAAUUCCAGGUGUAGCAGUGAAAUGCGUAGAGAUCUGGAGGAACACCGAUGGCGAAUGCAGCCCCCUGGGCCAGCACUGACGCUGAUACACGAAAGCGUGGGGGAGCAAACAGGAUUAGAUACCCUGGUAGUCCACGCCCUAACGAUGGCAACUAGUUGUUGGGGGGAUGAACUCCCUUAGUACGCAGCUAACGCGUGGAAGUUGCCCGCCUUGGGGGAGUACGGUCGCAAGAUUAAAACUCAAAGGAAUUGACGGGGGCCCGCAAAAGCCGGUGGAUGAUGUGGUUCAUUCCGUGGCAACGCGAAAAAACCUUACCUACCCUUGGACAUGCCAGUAAGCCGAAUGAAGAGUUGGGGUGUGCCCCGAAAGGGAAACCUGGGACACAAGUAGUCUUGCAUGACUUGUCUUACAGCUCCUGAGCCUGAGAGAAUGUUGGGGUUUAAGUUCCCCGCCACCGGAGCGCAACCCCUGUGCCUUUUAUGUGCUACCAUUAAAGUUUUGACACACUCUCUAUUGAGAACCUGACCGGUGACAAACCGGUAGGACGUUGUGACCAAACCCUUAGUCUUCACAGUGUGCCCAUCUAAUGACA
rnacentral:rRNA from 1 species